UACGUAGGCAGCAAGCGUUGUUCGGAGUUACUGGGCGUAAAGGGUGCGUAGGCGGUCCUAUAAGUAUGGUGUGAAAUCUCCGAGCUUAACUCGGAAACUGCCGUGGAUACUAUCAAUCUUGAAUAUCGUGGAGGUAAGCGGAAUAUGUCAUGUAGCGGUGAAAUGCUUAGAUAUGACAUAGAACACCAAUUGCGUAGGCAGCUUACUACACGAUCAUUGACGCUGAGGCACGAAAGCGUGGGGAGCAAACAGG
rnacentral:rRNA from 1 species